GACGAACGCUGGCGGCGUGCUUAACACAUGCAAGUCGAGCGGAAAGGCCCCUUCGGGGGUACUCGAGCGGCGAACGGGUGAGUAACACGUGAGUAAUCUGCCCUUCACUUCGGGAUAGCCCUGGGAAACCGGGAUUAAUACCGGAUAUGACGCGCCCCCGCCUGGGGUGUGUGUGGAAAGUUUUUUCGGUGGAGGAUGUGCUCGCGGCCUAUCAGCUUGUUGGUGGGGUAAUGGCCUACCAAGGCUUCGACGGGUAGCCGGCCUGAGAGGGUGACCGGCCACACUGGGACUGAGACACGGCCCAGACUCCUACGGGGGGCAGCAGUGGGGAAUAUUGGACAAUGGGCGGAAGCCUGAUCCAGCAACGCCGCGUGAGGGAUGACGGCCUUCGGGUUGUAAACCUCUUUCAGCGCCGACGAAGCGAGAGUGACGGUAGGCGCAGAAGAAGCACCGGCCAACUACGUGCCAGCCGCCGCAGUAAUAC
rnacentral:rRNA from 1 species